GAUGAACGCUGGCGGCGUGCCUAAUACAUGCAAGUCGAGCGAACGUACGAGAAGCUUGCUUCUCUUAUGUUAGCGGCGGACGGGUGAGUAACACGUGGAUAACCUACCUAUAAGACUGGGAUAACUUCGGGAAACCGGAGCUAAUACCGGAUAAUAUUUUGAACCGCAUGGUUCAAAAGUUAAAGACGGUCUUGCUGUCACUUAUAGAUGGAUCCGCGCUGCAUUAGCUAGUUGGUAAGGUAACGGCUUACCAAGGCAACGAUGCAUAGCCGACCUGAGAGGGUGAUCGGCCACACUGGAACUGAGACACGGUCCAGACUCCUACGGGAGGCAGCAGUAGGGAAUCUUCAGCAAUGGGCGAAAGCCUGACGGAGCAACGCCGCGUGAGUGAUGAAGGUCUUCGGAUCGUAAAACUCUGUUAUUAGGGAAGAACAUAUGUGUAAGUAACUGUGCACAUCUUGACGGUACCUAAUCAGAAAGCCACGGCUAACUACGUG
rnacentral:rRNA from 1 species